rnacentral:rRNA from 1 species
AGUGAACGCUGGCGGUAGGCCUAACACAUGCAAGUCGAACGGCAGCACAGUAAGAGCUUGCUCUUACGGGUGGCGAGUGGCGGACGGGUGAGGAAUACAUCGGAAUCUACUUUUUCGUGGGGGAUAACGUAGGGAAACUUACGCUAAUACCGCAUACGACCUACGGGUGAAAGCAGGGGAUCUUCGGACCUUGCGCGAUUGAAUGAGCCGAUGUCGGAUUAGCUAGUUGGCGGGGUAAAGGCCCACCAAGGCGACGAUCCGUAGCUGGUCUGAGAGGAUGAACAGCCAGACUGGAACUGAGACACGGUCCAGACUCCGACGGGAGGCAGCAGUGGGGAAUAUUGGACAAUGGGCGCAAGCCUGAUCCAGCCAUACCGCGUGGGUGAAGAAGGCCUUCGGGUUGUAAAGCCCUUUUGUUGGGAAAGAAAAGCAGCAGGUUAAUACCCCGCUGUUCUGACGGUACCCAAAGAAUAAGCACCGGCUAACUUCGUG